CGCAUCUGUGCAUGCAGCAUAUCAAUAAGCGGAGGAAAAGAAACUAACAAGGAUUCCCCUAGUAACGGCGAGUGAAGCGGGAAGAGCUCAAAUUUGAAAUCUUAAAGGGUUUCCCUUUACGAAUUGUAGUUUAAAGAAGUGUUUUCUGUUGAGGUUUUGGUAAAAGUUCUUUGGAAUAGGACAUCAUAGAGGGUGAGAAUCCCGUAUUUGACCUUUACUUUCAACUUUGUGAUACACUUUCAAAGAGUCGGAUUGUUUGGGAAUGCAGUCCAAAAUGGGUGGUAAAUUUCAUCUAAAGCUAAAUAUUGGCGAGAGACCGAUAGCGAACAAGUACCGUGAGGGAAAGAUGAAAAGAACUUUGAAAAGAGAGUUAAACAGUACGUGAAAUUGUCAAAAGGGAAGCGUUUGACACCAGUGUUGUUUUUCUGAAAAUCAAUUAAAGAACUGUUUAUGCUAAGUUGUUUAGACUUUAUCAGCUAACUGUUUAGUUUUGAGCUUUUCUUUAAUGCACUUUUCAGUUAACAAGUCAACAUCAAUUUCUUUUGCUGUAAAAAAGCUUGAGGAAGGUGGCUUGAGAUUCGUCUUAAGUGUUUAUAGCCUCUUGCCUAUGCAGUCGGAGAGAUUGAGGUCUGCAGCGUAGAUCCUUCGGGGCUAAAUGCAUUUGUGCUAAGUUAUAGCAUUUUAUAGACAACUUGUUGACUAUGAUUUGUCUUGUAGCUUACUCGCUUAUGUUAUUUUACCUACGCUUAGGAUGUUGAUCUCUCACUAGUCGAGC
rnacentral:rRNA from 1 species